AUUGGGAAGAGGAUAAGAAGGAAGGAUGGGAGGGGAGGAGUAACAAAAGUGAAAACAAAAACUUGAAAGGGAAAACAAUUUCAAAUAGAUUUCAAAUUUUAGUUUUUGUUUUCACUUUUGUUACUCCUCUUUCACAUCCUCCCCUCUCAUCUUCCCUCUCAAU
rnacentral:miRNA from 1 species